AGGUGGUAGAUUCUGAAGAUUGUUGCUAACCCAGGGCUCAUCCUCUUUUGAGUCAUGGAUUCAGAGGACUGCUAGCAAGCUCCUAAAUACUUCUGCUUUGUAUAAUUUAGUGGAUGGGACUGCAGGACUCACAGAAGCCUGUGAAAGGUUUUCAGAACAUGGAUUAAUUGAAUAUUGAAUAAUCGUUGACUCUUUUGAAUAUACUAGUCCCUUUGAGGAAGAAAGGCUAUUUUACUGACGGAAGCCAUUUGUAAGGCACUUUUAAAAGUUUAAAAAGCCCAGUUACUGCAGUUACUGCCCAUCUGUAUUUAUUUUGACUAUCACUCCAUCUUCUUGUGUGAAGGAAAUGACUAUAUGGUUUCAACAAAGAAAAAGUUUUGCCAACUCCUUUUAACUGAAGAAACUUCACCCACGUGUCACUCCUAACUGGGUUUUUGUCUUCCUGACUACUCGCAAGGGGAAACUACCCCAUGAAGGAUACUAACCCUUCCGGCAGUAUCUGUGAUGUGUCUCAUUCAGAACCCGGUGGGCUCUCCACAGCUGAACGACAGUCCUUUUAUCUAGGGAAAGAGAAGGAGUCCAGUUACUGGAAACAGUGAGUGCAGCUUCAGAAAUUGUUGUCUCUCCCGAGUGGAGAAGUUGUUUGACCUCCUGACUCAUUUCAUAGGAAUUGGAGAAAACAACCUAGUGUGGUUUUCACUGUUAGUCCUGGAGGAUUCCAAAAUCUGUGUGUCUGCAAAUGCGAUGAGCUGGAGGAAGGCAGUGUUGCCACUUGCUGUUUCUACUUGCCUGCUCUCCUAAUGGAAUUCAGUCCCUUACCUCCAGACAAGUCCAGCCUGUUCCUGGGGAUCCCUUGUGUGGCCGUUCAGUGGUUCCAGCACCAGUCUCCGAAGAUCCCCAAGGCCCACUUCACUGCCCCAGACUCCAUCUCUGCCUGCGCUCCUCUGUCUUCCUCAUCUGCUCACCUGCUAAUAACCUGUGCAUUCUGAAGAGUCAUCUCAGGUAUCACCUCCUCCAGGGAGCCCUCUGCCUUAGGAGACGGAAUUGAGCAAUGUUCUCUGAGAACACGCUGUGCUCCUUGGAGCCCUGAGUGAAUGUGAUGUUUAGAAGAUGCUCUAGAAGCUUGGAAGUGCCUCUUGGGAAUAGAGCGAAGGGGGUGGAGACGGGGUAGCGAAGACACCGCGGCCGCCCCAGAGGAGCAGUGACUCACCCUGCCUGCCUAGCCGGGGACUUCAGGCCUCGAGACGCCCACGGCCAAGGACUCAGUUCCCCUUGAGCCCCACCGUGAACCUGUGACCUUUAAUGGACCCACAGGCCACCUCCGCGUCCACAAGAACCACAGAGAAGGACGCAUCAGGGCCCUGGCUCUCUACCAGCGGCCUCCCCGAGCCCCUAGGCAGACAGUGCUGUAUAAAGACAAAACACCCUGAACCAAGAAAUGGAGCCACUUUCCUGAGGAGAAAAAGCCAAAGGAAGAUUCCCGCCCGAGUCUAGGUGGCCCACAAGCAGCCGUCACAUCACGUAUCACUUUGCUAACAGCUCGGCCAUGGUGUUACCAUGUCAGGAAUAUCAAUUAAGCAUGUCCGACAAGAUCUGCUGGUCGGAGGAGCUGCCCGCGGUGCCAGUGCUGCUCUUCUGAACAAAUGCUCCCUGAGGAUUUCCGUGCCUGGAACUUCUCAACAGACUGCUGUGACACCUAAUGUAAGUAGAGGCUCUUGCUCCUAAAUCAGUCUCAAGGGAGCUUUGUUCUAUUUUGUUCCUGGAGGAUCCCCCCAGUAAAGUUUUUUAAAUGGUCAUCAGUGUUCCUUCUCUGUUUCUUUUCUGUGAAACACUCAACUUCCGAUUUACUAUCAGAAAAAGACUAUGACAUGAACACCUGCUUAGAAGCAAGGAUAUGGGAUCCCAUAUUCGGGUCUCAGAAUGGGAAGAGGAGAAGGCAGAAAAUAUUGAAGCUGCUCACUCCAGGCAGUUCAGUUGGAGAUGCCAUUCGUAGGCCCAAGGGCAUCUUUUCAGGGUUUAGUACUCAUCAGACUCCUGUGCAGAGUGACUGAGGAAAUGUGCCCCAUACAGCUCAGGGGUGAGCCCCCGUGAUGUGGGGGCCCUUCUGUUUGGCAGCCGGGGCUGCUCUCAUAGCCACGUCUCCGCUUAUAACACGCAGAAGGAAAACCUGUCCCUUGUUUAUCAUCAUCACCAUCCCUUACUGAAUGUGUACACGUGCCAUUUCUAGUUCUGCUUGCUUCUCCUCGGUCUGCACCCUCACAUCAGCCUUCCGUGGUGUGGGUCCUCAUAGUACACAGGUGUGAUUUCCCAGAUGGGGAGACCAAGGCAUGGAGAGUCAAGUAACUUCCCCCAGGUUGUGCAGGGAGUGAGUUUCGGCUCCACAAGGCUGCGCUGGACCAGCCCACCAAAUGCCCCACAGAAACAGGCAGCUUUGGAGGAUGAGCAGUGGGGCUGAUCUGGAGACAAGUGUUUCAGCGCUGCCAUAACCCCCUGUGGGAAGGGGCUGCUGGACUUAAAAAAGUCUGGAGCUUCCUUAAGAUUAGUGGGAGAACAAAGCUUUAGAGAAGACCUAACUUAAGUUUAAGGUCACACUGCAAGUCAGAGCGUAGCUGAGGGCCCUGGGCCAACCUACCAAUUUCCGAGUAUUCGCCUUCCUCUUGGUCAUCAGGUGCCACUUCUGGUAAUAGUGGCCAAGGCUGGUUCCAGUGAUGUGCGUAUGUGCCUACUGGUGAGGCCCUGCAGCACAGAGCCAGUUUGUGUUCAGAGACCCACACGGCCAUGUGAAGAUUGGCUGCUACAGUAUCCGAGCAGCAAAGAAGGAUGACUAAGAGCCUGGGCCUGGAAUCAAGCAAGGGAGUCUGAUCCCUCGUCUUGUCAGUCCUAAGCUUUUUGACCAGAGCGAGUCCUGCACCCUCACUUAAUCUCUGUUCUUGUACCUGGAAACUGGAAAUAAUUCCACAGCCUUGUAGGCGGAUGAACAUGAGAAAAUGCAUAGAAAGCAUGUAGCACCGUGUUUGGCCCAGAGUAAGUCUUCCAAAAGUGGAAGCUAUUAUCCAGAGAACCUUUCCAUCCACUUUUCAGUUCAUGUUGGCCUUCCCCCUACAAAGGCACUACAGUGUCCCAACCCAUCUAAGAAAACAACGUUUGAGUGCAGUGCUUUAAAAAUUACAGAUGUUUCCUCAUACUGAAAUCCUGAUGCCUUUAAGAACCACUGCAGGACCAGAAUCUGUAACUCCAUUCUCUAGAUCGGCAUAAGAAGGCCCAGCAAAAUUAAAUGAUGGCCCAAGAUCCCACAGCUAGUCGAUAGCACAGCCCAGCGCCUGAUCCUGUGACUCUUACUCAUCCACUUCCUGUAAGAAAAUACUCAUUAAAGGCACGUAAGUCAAUAGAGAACCACCUCCCACCGUAGGACCCAGCACCUUCCAACCGAUAAAAGAGUUGUAACUUUAGUCCUAAAUACUCAGGCUAGGACUCUCAUAUCCCGACGUCUGUUAACAUUUUGAAGCUGCCUUCUCAAAGAAGUGUCAUAGUCAGAUACCAUCUUGUGAAAUCCUCAGGCCCCAAGGGACAUUAUCUUAAUCUGGUUAGCUCAUGCAAGAACCAACUAGCAGUUCACUUCGAGGAAGACAACAUGUUUCCGCUGUUCUGCUUUUGCCACACAGGAGGUACCGGUGUGGCUCCCCGGUUCACAUUUCUGGCUCUAACUCUCCUAUUAGAUCUGGAAGAAAAAAUACAGAGAAGGGCAACCUGUUCAAAAACAGCAUGAAGGUAAAGAAUCGCAGGUGGGAUUUUGAAACAGAAACGCAUCCUUGUGGCCCCUGGGCUGAGAGACACCAAGGAAGGAUUUUGUUCUUGAAAGGUGGUUACUUGGCUCCUAGAGAUGGAGACUUUAACAAUGUUAAGUGUGUAUCCUGUGUGGAAGAAAGAUUUGUUAAAAAAAAUAACAUUCUUUUCAAAUGAUGCAAUACCUUGGCACUGUCAGGGGGUCAAAUAGAAACACCCUGAGUUAACAGAAACUCAGCCCUGCCCUCUCCUGGCCUGGAAAUACAGAACAAUCAGAUGGAUUGUUGGAGGUGGGAGGAUGGGGAGGAGUGGAAACAUGUUAAUGUUUACUGAGCAAAGUCUUUCCCUGCAGUUGACUGUCACUGAAACACUCAUCAAAGUAAGCAGAUACCACGCGCUGUCGUCUUGUUUUCCUGGAAAGAGAAUGAACAAGUGCCUGUUAACUUAUCAACUUUGUUUUUCGCCUACUAGUAAACAAUGCAAUUUUUUUCCCCUCUGUGUUAAUUCAAUAGCCAGCCUGCCUACAGACCUCUUUGAAGAAAACCAACCUCUUGCUUUAGAAGAUUACUCACUCAAGAUCUCUAGUUCACUGUAUUUUGGCUUAAAUCAUUUUACAGUCACCAACUAAGUACCUUGGUUUGCUGCUUAUUACAAAAUUCAGAGAAGUAUACUACAUGACUGAUCCCUGUGCCGAUUACUCUGUGUCUGCUGGGAAUGCCUCCUCACGUGGAGGGAUAUACAUGGGAAAGGAUAUAUCCACCUUCGUUCUUCUGCUGAAUUUUUUGAAAAAUAUACUUAAAGGAUAACACAAAACUUACCUUAUCUCUUUGUUUCUGCUAAGGGAACAGAACAGUAUGGUUUGUAAUAACAGUAUGUGUUAUGUAUGUGCAUGAAGUGCCUGGGUGGGUUUGACAUAUAUUUGAUGUACAAAGUAUGUAUGAUUUUAUUAGGCUUAAGUAACAAGAAGCAAUUCACUCUUUACUUUUCUUCAGGAAAACGUUUUCUCCAUAACUGAAGUGUCAGUCAUUUGAAAACAAAACGAAACUUCUGAUUGGCAGUAGGCAAAAGCUGUAACUAGUCACUUG